rnacentral:rRNA from 1 species
GGGAUAACAUAGGGAAACUUAUGCUAAUACCGGAUAGGGUUUUGCUUCGCCUGAAGCGAAACGGAAAGAUGGCGCAAGCUAUCACUUACAGAUGGGCCUGCGGCGCAUUAGCUAGUUGGUGAGGUAAUGGCUCACCAAGGCGACGAUGCGUAGCCGACCUGAGAGGGUGACCGGCCACACUGGGACUGAGACACGGCCCAGACUCCUACGGGAGGCAGCAGUAGGGAAUUUUCCACAAUGGACGAAAGUCUGAUG